CCUACGGGUGGCAGCAGUGAGGAAUAUUGGUCAAUGGGCGUAAGCCUGAACCAGCCAAGUCGCGUGAGGGAUGACUGCCCUACGGAUUGUAAACUUCUUUUAUAAGGGAAUAAAGUGUGGGACGUGUCCCAUUUUGUAUGUACUUUAUGAAUAAGGAUCGGCUAACUCCGUGCCAGCAGCCGCGGUAAUACGGAGGAUCCGAGCGUUAUCCGGAUUUAUUGGGUUUAAAGGGUGCGUAGACGGCUUGUUAAGUCAGCUGUGAAAGUUUGUGGCUCAACCAUAGAAUUGCAAUUGAUACUGGGAGGCUUGAGUAUGUUUGAGGCAGGCGGAAUUCGUGGUGUAGCGGUGAAAUGCUUAGAUAGCACGCAGAACCCCGAUUGCGAAGGCAGCCUGCCAAGCCAUGACUGACGCUGAUGCACGAAAGUGUGGGGAUCAAACAGGAUUAGAUACCCGGGUAGUC
rnacentral:rRNA from 1 species